GCUGAAAUGUGAUACCAUUGGUUUUCAGUAAAGGUUCCUUUCUGCAGGGCUGCAAACACAGAUCAGCUGCUACUGUGUGUACACAACCAGGGAGCAGAUCACCCAGCACAUUCAAAGCAGCCUUUUUAACCCCGAGACUUUCCAAGAUCUCCUCUCCACGCAGGAAGUUUCCUUCUCUGUUGUCAGAUUUAGCACCGCGCUCUUGUCAUCAGAUCCGCGCUAGACUCCCUGCUGCACAGCAGAGAGGCUUCCUUAAGACAUUUGUCCUUGAAACUGCACCAAACUCUUGGAAGAGCCCAGAACGUAUUUGCCUCAACAAAGGAAGCAUCAUGUUACGUCUUUUAAAUAAUUGA
ensembl:lincRNA